rnacentral:lncRNA from 1 species
UUGAUUUAUACAAAUCGGAAUAAAUACACAAAAAUCCAACAAAUGAAUUAAGAAAUAAAAUCAAGUAACCAUAAUCGACUAUCAAAACAGUCGAUUAACACUUUAAUCGACUACCAGAGCAUAGUCGAUUAACUUAAUCGACUACCACAACAUAGUCGAUUAACUUAAUCGACUACCAAAACACAUAGUCGAUUAGCCUCGAAAUCUGCCCCAUACCAGAAAAUUAUCACCACGCUUCGUCGAAUUUUUUUCCCUCGAUCUCCACCCUAGAUCCACCGCUAGAAAUUAACUUAACAAGAAGCAAGAAACAAAUAUGUUCAUCAAUGUCUUCUUUGUUCACACAAUUCAAGAAAGACGAAAUGCACACAAAUUUGAACCGAAAACCGAAAGUAUGCGUAUUCGAUUUGAACCCAUUACUUCACCCAAAAAAAAAAUAUAGAAAUCAUAAAUCCCAACUUAAUUGAAGCUUUUGUACAGAGAAAAUCUCCAUCUAUCUAUUAAUAUUGAUGACAAGACCUCUAUAAAACCAUAAGCACGAAGAUAAACAAAAAUCCGAAGCAUAAGCAAAUCACUAACAAAUCAACCAACAAUUUCCAGAAACUCAAAAUUUUAUUUAGAAACAUCCAUGGCUGAAGUCUAAUUAUUUUUAAGACAAAGUAGAGAGAGGAAAUUACUCGAGGUUCAUUUUCCAACAGAGAGCCGCUGGUGAACGAUGGUGGAGAAAUUGGCAGAGAGAUUAGAGUAAAGGCCGACGACCGAUUGGAGCGCCGAUUUUGCUGUUGAAGCUGGGAUUGACGGCGGUCCCACAUCUCGUUUUCCCCGUCAACGGCGUCGUUUUACCCACUGCAAUCGUCGUCUUCGGUCGUGGCGGUGGAGACUCCAUGCAUUUAUCCAUCUUCCGGCGGCGGCGGCGGGGAGAAUAUUUGCCGGAGACAAACAAAGAAAAAAAAAAAGAAAGAAUAAAAAACAGAGAAGAUAGAAGAUAUAGAC